CAAACCAAAGUUUCACCUGCUCGGAUCAUCUCACCUGAAGGUUAUAAAUGACAGAAGAGGAGGACUCAAGAAGCUACGGUGAGAGUCACUACCACUGUAACUGCUCUCCAAGGCCGUCAGAAGAAAGGGAGGAGCAAAACCACCGAUCUCAGUGUGUGUUUCUGACCCACCAGAAACACACAAACACAAGAGUGUGUAGACUGUGAGGUCACCUCUGGGAGGAACCUAGGUUAUAUUCCAAAGUACAACCACACAACCACAGCGGUAAACACAACAACGAACCUUAGAGUUGACUGUUGGAGCAGAAGUAAGCCUCCGCUAAUAUCCCAUCAUCCCAGCGCAGGUGUUGUUAACGGUGUCCUGAGCGUUUGGAGCAGCCGCUACAGGCACAGCUCCUUCCAUCAGCUGGGACGCUGCCUGUUCCUCAGGUUUCCUGGUCCGUUCAGGGUUGGAUCCAGAGCCCCUGCUGUCCUGUCAAUCACCGAUUCUGGUGAGAUCUGCUGCACUCAGUCUGACCGGCCGCUGCCCCCCAGGACCGGCGGGCUCUCAGCUCCCUCUUUGUUCAAAGAGACGUUUUGCUCUGAGCUGUUGGAGCUUCAGCUGGACCGACCGACUGGAUGGAUGAUGGAGAGAGGCAGCUCCCAUGAUGCAGUGGGGCGGCUCCCAGAACAUUCCACAACCGGACACUGCAGUGAGGAAUCAUGGGAACAGCCGUCGUUAAUCAAAAGAAGAUGAAGAAAUCUAAAUAAGAUGCAGGAAUGGACAAGUGAACUUUCCAGGAAUGAGGGAGAGAAAAGCAGAGAUCCUCCUCCUUCAAGCUUCCGUUCAUCGCCGCCUCAGGCUGUUGUCGGGUAUUGAAAAAGCGAUGAGGGAACUGCAGACUCUGCAGUAACCAAACCGUAAACUCCAACCGUCUGCGUCCCGAACGCUCCACCCCUGCUCCCAGAAGGGUCUCAUUACCAUCAGCUGCUCACACAGAAAGGUUCUGUGCUGGUUUUUCCUCGUUACUUCUGCCGGUGUCUUCAGGAAACGCUGCUCUGGUCUGAGGGUCAACGGAGUGGAAAAGAGGGGAAGCAGCAGGGUGGAGCAGGUGGAGGAGGGUUUCAGGUUUCAGGUAUGACCAAAGGAAAGCUGCAGCACGUUGUUGGAGACUCUGAGGCAGAGGAGGAGGCAGCAGAGAUGAAGAUGCUGAGGUUCUCUGAGUGACCAGGAUUGAUCAGGACUGAAUCCAUCAGACGAACAGAUCAUGGAUGUUCUGGAGAUGGGAAGCAGAUGGAGACGUCUGAGAGGAGGACGGACGGACGGACGGAUG